AGCGAAACCGCCCUCUGGCGGUCGUCGAAGCGUGGCGGCUUCGGCCUGAUGAGCAGCCAC
rnacentral:hammerhead_ribozyme from 1 species